UAUACCACGGCGCGCCAGCUUAACGUGGGAGGAAAGCCCGUAGUGACGGAGGUCAUACACGUGUGCAACUCGGUUGGAAGCCACGAGAACGGGAAUGUCGCCGACAAAUCAACAAACACAAAUGCGCGAAUUUGGGAUUCGAAACCACUAACAGUGGACCGAGAUCUCAUGAAAGCAACUCUGUUCACUGAACAAGAAACCCAGACGUUCAGCCAUUGCCUGUUUGCAAACAUGGAUGAGCUGAAUGAACUCUAAACAGCUUUUCCAAAAUCGAGCAACUGCGAGAGCACUGAAGCUGAGGAGGAAGCCUGCAGCUGGGCUCUUACAAGCCACUGACAAGAACAUGGUGACCCAUGUAAAAGAAUGGCUCCGAGUUCCAGGAGCAAGCUUUGAAAUGGCAUAAGGAAAACGCUUACUGAAAAACAGAGGUGCAGAUAGAGAAUCUGCAAACAAAAGUGCUGAAUUGCAACGGAACAAAUAAAUCCAAAAAGUUGGUGUUGACAACAUAUUUUUCACAGGGUUAUGACCCUUGUUUUUGAACUUGGUACAUGUACUGCCAGGUUCUCUUGGACACGACUGAAGUUAAUAAAUGAAACUCUCCGUGCUUAUCUUAGGUACAAACUCCAAAAGAUGGUUAUAAGAGCUUAUUUUGUAUGGAGUUAUGGCCUUUGCUUCAUGCUUUUUUAACUUGAUGGAAUGGGGGGGAAAAAUUUGUCUCGCAAAGGAAUUUGAAGCCACAUAAAUGAGAAUUUGCAGGUCAAGAUGAGGGGGUAUAUGUUUAGACUGUGUUUUAAAACUCGUUUUGAGAAUAUAUGUUUCACAUCCGUCUUGUUGCAGGUA